AACGAACGCUGGCGGCAUGCCUAACACAUGCAAGUCGAACGAAGGCUUCGGCCUUAGUGGCGCACGGGUGCGUAACGCGUGGGAAUCUGCCCUUGGGUUCGGAAUAACAGUGAGAAAUUACUGCUAAUACCGGAUGAUGUCGAAAGACCAAAGAUUUAUCGCCCAGGGAUGUGCCCGCGUAGGAUUAGCUAGUUGGUGAGGUAAAGGCUCACCAAGGCGACGAUCCUUAGCUGGUCUGAGAGGAUGAUCAGCCACACUGGGACUGAGACACGGCCCAGACUCCUACGGGAGGCAGCAGUGGGGAAUAUUGGAAAAUGGGCGAAAGCCUGAUCCAGCAAUGCCGCGUGAGUGAUGAAGGCCUUAGGGUUGUAAAGCUCUUUUACCCGGGAUGAUAAUGACAGUACCGGGAGAAUAAGUCCGGCUAACUCCGUGCCAGCAGCCGCCGUAAAAC
rnacentral:rRNA from 1 species